rnacentral:ncRNA from 1 species
AUUUUUUUUUUAAGACAAAACAUAAAAAUAAAAUGAGCAUGAUGAUUGGGUUCUCACGCGCUUGCGUGACAUGUGCCUCCUCUAAACCUUGUUACAACAUGGGCAUAUUACCCAUCUGAUG